GCUUCCUGUGCCUCGCGGUGCAAGUCACCUUGCUCGUGCUGCUCAGCGCGAGGCGACACCUGUAGGGCGCGUGGUUGCGACUUCCGCAACAGACUGGUGCCUUAAAAAAUUUUUUUGCAUGCGGAACAGCAAAUGGGCUUACAUCAUUUGCACUUAUAACAAGAGAUGCAGGAGGAUGCUGUUCCUGGAGAAAUGUGCAGACUGAAGAGGACGAAGGGAUGGCCUAAAAGAUUUCCUAUUCCAAGAUUGAAGGCAGACUGAAUUGACUUAACUCCCACUGUGGAUGGACUUGGAGUUUUAAACUGACAGAAUCUGCAGUUGUCCUGCCCCCUUCUCACUCCGAUUCUGUCAUCCCAUUUACAAAACAAAACAGUGAUGUAAUCCUCCCCUGGUACCGGCGGAGGGAAAAGCUUACUAAUGGUACGCCUUUGAAUGUUCUCUCCUCCAAUGAUGCGAGUGCAUCAGGGACAGUUGGAUCAAACUGAUUAUACCUGACACAUAUAGGCUGCAAAUGCUACAAAAAUGCACUGAAAUACACCCGUUGUAAAGCUCCACAAUGCACUGUACUUUUUUUAGAUAAGCUAAACUCUCUUUGUAAACAUGUAAAUAACAGCUGAUGCUUUUAUAGGUGUUUUUUACAGUGUUUGGAUCCAGUUUACAGAUUUGUGUAUGCUUUAUUAUUACCUGUGGAGGCUGUCUUAUAUAGCAUUUCACCACGAAUGCUGGACCUGUGCAUAAAAUGCUUUUAUGCUGUUUGUGACUACUGAGAAUAAGCUCUUUUCUGAUGUAAUGUUUUUUUUUUGUAUAAACUGGGCUCUUUUUAUGUCAAAUAUUUCUAAUGAAAUUUCAGCAAUUAUGAUAAUAAACAAUGAAAAUGUC